rnacentral:rRNA from 1 species
UACGUAGGGGGCAAGCGUUGUCCGGAAUCAUUGGGCGUAAAGCGCGUGUAGGCGGCUGGGUAAGUCCGCUCUGAAAGCCCGGGGCUCAACCCCGGGAGGCGGGUGGAUACUGCUCAGCUCGAGUCCGGAAGAGGAGUGUGGAAUUCCUGGUGUAGCGGUGAAAUGCGCAGAUAUCAGGAGGAACACCAAUAGCGAAGGCAGCUCGCUGGGACGGUACUGACGCUAAGGCGCGAAAGCGUGGGGAGCGAACAGG